UUACUUGUUUUGCCCAAGAAUUUUUUCUGGGGUUAAGGGAAAAAAUCACCACUGGCCUUGGUAUUGGGAGGUUUUCUACCCCUCAUUUCUCGGCUUAAAUACGGCUAGUUUUAUUUUAACUGGUAGUUACCUUUUGGUAGUAACCCUACAUAAAAGCAUCCCUACCGAAAUAAAAUCUAGGUGAGCCUUUUUGGCUCCACCCCAAAC
rnacentral:misc_RNA from 1 species